rnacentral:rRNA from 1 species
GAUGAACGCUGGCGGCGUGCUUAACACAUGCAAGUCGAACGGAAAGGCUCCUGCUUGCAGGGGUACUCGAGUGGCGAACGGGUGAGUAACACGUGGGUGAUCUGCCCUGCACUUCGGGAUAAGCCUGGGAAACUGGGUCUAAUACCGGAUAGGACCACAUUUUGGAUGGUGUGGUGGAAAGUUUUUCGGUGUGGGAUGAGCUCGCGGCCUAUCAGCUUGUUGGUGGGGUAAUGGCCUACCAAGGCGUCGACGGGUAGCCGGCCUGAGAGGGUGUACGGCCACAUUGGGACUGAGAUACGGCCCAGACUCCUACGGGAGGCAGCAGUGGGGAAUAUUUCACAAUGGGCGCAAGCCUGAUGCAGCGACGCCGCGUGGGGGAUGACGGCUUUCGGGUUGUAAACUCCUUUCGCUAGGGACGAAGCGUUUUUGUGACGGUACCUGGAGAAGAAGCACCGGCUAACUACGUG